rnacentral:rRNA from 1 species
GAUGAACGCUGGCGGCGUGCCUAAUACAUGCAAGUCGAGCGAACAGAUGAGGAGCUUGCUCCUUUGACGUUAGCGGCGGACGGGUGAGUAACACGUGGGUAACCUACCUAUAAGACUGGGAUAACUUCGGGAAACCGGGGCUAAUGCCGGAUAACAUUUAGAACCGCAUGGUUCUAAAGUGAAAGACGGUUUUGCUGUCACUUAUAGAUGGACCCGCGCCGUAUUAGCUAGUUGGUAAGGUAACGGCUUACCAAGGCAACGAUACGUAGCCGACCUGAGAGGGUGAUCGGCCACACUGGAACUGAGACACGGUCCAGACUCCUACGGGAGGCAGCAGUAGGGAAUCUUCCGCAAUGGGCGAAAGCCUGACGGAGCAACGCCGCGUGAGUGAUGAAGGUCUUCGGAUCGUAAAACUCUGUUAUUAGGGAAGAACAAAUGUGUAAGUAACUAUGCACGUCUUGACGGUACCUAAUCAGAAAGCCACGGCUAACUACGUG